ensembl:lncRNA
AGGUUCAGUCCAGGAUCAAAUGUUUGGAUACCAGUAGGUGCUCCAUGUGAAAGUAAUCUUGAAUGAUGAAUGAAGGUGCUGGCAGGCUCAGUCUUUCAGAGAGUAAAAUGAGGCAUCAACAUUUAAAGGCCUUAAAAUUGGUGGUCCAGCUGCACAGGAAGUUCCCUGAAGGGCCAAGUCUGGAUCUCACCGUUAAGUCUUUGUGCCAUGAUGAUGGUCACAGCCCAACCAAACUGACCUAAAGCAACUAGAGAGGCGCUUCCAAGCCAGGAAGUUUAAUGUCACAGAAGAUCAGUGGUGUCAGAGGACUGGGCAGUGUAUGAAAGCAUUAUGAAAGACCAGACCAGAGCCUCAGGCAGUUCUGCACCACCCAGCUCUAGCUCACAUUUUACAGUUUCCUGAACAUGCCUUGAUCUAUCAAAUGGAUAAUGCCACCUCAAACUCACACCAUUGAGUGAAUCGAUGUUGCUGCGCUGGUUGUGUGGUUUUGAAACCACCGCAACACCACAGUAUUUCAGGAUGUCAACCUAGUAAACUUUGAAUGAUGUCCAUGCAAGGAUACCAAGAUGCUAAAGCUCACAAGGU